UCCAUAACAGAAAUGCUUCCGAGUCAGAA
rnacentral:piRNA from 1 species